rnacentral:tRNA from 1 species
UAAGUAAAAGCCAAAGAUAGAGGCACUUGUUUGUUAAUCAAGAUAUUGUGAUGUCUGUUCACUUACUUAG